rnacentral:rRNA from 1 species
GAACGGUAACAUUUCUAGCUUGCUAGAAGAUGACGAGUGGCGGACGGGUGAGUAAUGCUUAGGGAUCUGCCCUUGGGAAGGGGAUAACUAUUGGAAACGAUAGCUAAUACCGUAUAACGUCUACGGACCAAAGGGGGCUUCGGCUCUCGCCUGAGGAUGAACCUAAGUGAGAUUAGCUAGUUGGUGAGGUAAAGGCUCACCAAGGCGACGAUCUCUAGCUGUUCUGAGAGGAAGAUCAGCCACACUGGGACUGAGACACGGCCCAGACUCCUACGGGAGGCAGCAGUGGGGAAUAUUGCACAAUGGGGGAAACCCUGAUGCAGCCAUGCCGCGUGUGUGAAGAAGGCCUUAGGGUUGUAAAGCACUUUCAGUGGGGAGGAAAGGAUAGUAGUUAAUACCUGCUAUCUGUGACGUUACCCACAGAAGAAGCACCGGCUAACUCCGUGCCAGCAGCCGCGGUAAUACGGAGGGUGCGAGCGUUAAUCGGAAUUACUGGGCGUAAAGCGCACGCAGGCGGUUUGUUAAGCUAGAUGUGAAAGCCCCGGGCUCAACCUGGGAUGGUCAUUUAGAACUGGCAAACUAGAGUUUUGGAGAGGGGAGUGGAAUUCC